UGUGCUAAGGUAGCAUAAUCAUUUGCUACUUAAUUAGUGGCUAGAAUGAAUGGGAGGACGAAUAGUUGACUUUCUUAGUUUACCUAGAAAUUAAUGUAAGAAUUAAAAAGUUCUUUCCCCUUAGAAAGACGACAAGACCCUAGAACCUUCACUAGUGUUAGUUUUGCUGGGGCGGUAAAUAGUAUAACGCGAGAGUUAAAAACACUAUGAGUGAGAUUAUCUAUCCUUGUAUUGAAUAAAAAAAGGUACUUUAGGGAUAACAGAAUAAUCCUUGCUUAGAGUUCUUAUCGACGCAGGGGUUUAUCACCUCGAUGUUGAAUUGAGUAAACUUUAUGGGGCAG
rnacentral:rRNA from 1 species